UGGGGAAUAUUGCACAAUGGGGGAAACCCUGAUGCAGCGACGCCGCGUGAGCGAAGAAGGUUUUCGAAUCGUAAAGCUCUGUCCUAUGAGAAGAUAAUGACGGUAUCAUAGGAGGAAGCCCCGGCUAAAUACGUGCCAGCAGCCGCGGUAAUACGUAGGUGGCGAGCGUUAUCCGGAUUUACUGGGUGUAAAGGGCGUGCAGGCGGGCUGAUAAGUCAGAUGUGAAAUCCCCGAGCUUAACUCGGGAACUGCAUCUGAUACUGUUGGUCUUGAGUGCUGGAGAGGAUAGUGGAAUUCCUAGUGUAGCGGUAAAAUGCGCAGAUAUUAGGAGGAACACCAGUGGCGAAGGCGGCUAUCUGGACAGUAACUGACGCUGAGGCGCGAAAGCGUGGGUAGCAAACAGG
rnacentral:rRNA from 1 species